UAACCUGGCCGUCAUUCAGACCUCUGUGCCAC
rnacentral:piRNA from 1 species